rnacentral:rRNA from 1 species
AGCAGCCGCGGUAAUUCCAGCUCCAAUAGCGUAUAUUAAAGUUGUUGCAGUUAAAAAGCUCGUAGUUGAAUUUCGGGAUCAAUAUGUUGGUCGUGCCUUGGUACGUACUGGCAUUAUCGAUUCCUACCUUCUGAAGAACCUCGAUGUCAUUAAUUUGGUGUCUUGGGGAAUCAGGACUGUUACUUUGAAAAAAUUAGAGUGUUUAAAGCAGGCUCGCGCUUGAAUACAUUAGCAUGGAAUAAUGAAAUAGGACGUUUGAUUCUAUUUUGUUGGUUUCUAGGAUCGACGUAAUGAUUAAUAGGGAUAGUUGGGGGCAUUAGUAUUCAAUUGUCGGAGGUGAAAUUCUUGGAUUUAUUGAAGACUAACUACUGCGAAAGCAUUUGCCAAGGAUGUUUUCAUUAAUCAAGAACGAAAGUUAGGGAUCGAAGACGAUCAGAUACCGUCGUAGUC